rnacentral:rRNA from 1 species
UAGGGAAUCUUCGGCAAUGGGGGCAACCCUGACCGAGCAACGCCGCGUGAGUGAAGAAGGUUUUCGGAUCGUAAAGCUCUGUUGUAAGUCAAGAACGGGUGUGAGAGUGGAAAGUUCACACUGUGACGGUAGCUUACCAGAAAGGGACGGCUAACUACGUGCCAGCAGCCGCGGUAAUACGUAGGUCCCGAGCGUUGUCCGGAUUUAUUGGGCGUAAAGCGAGCGCAGGCGGUUUGAUAAGUCUGAAGUUAAAGGCUGUGGCUCAACCAUAGUUCGCUUUGGAAACUGUCAAACUUGAGUGCAGAAGGGGAGAGUGGAAUUCCAUGUGUAGCGGUGAAAUGCGUAGAUAUAUGGAGGAACACCGGUGGCGAAAGCGGCUCUCUGGUCUGUAACUGACGCUGAGGCUCGAAAGCGUGGGGAGCGAACAGGAUUAGAUACCCUGGUAGUCCACGCCGUAAACGAUGAGUGCUAGGUGUUGGAUCCUUUCCGGGAUUCAGUGCCGCAGCUAACGCAUUAAGCACUCCGCCUGGGGAGUACGACCGCAAGGUUGAAACUCAAAGGAAUUGACGGGGGCCCGCACAAGCGGUGGAGCAUGUGGUUUAAUUCGAAGCAACGCGAAGAACCUUACCAGGUCUUGACAUCCCGAUGCUAUUUCUAGAGAUAGAAAGUUACUUCGGUACAUCGGUGACAGGUGGUGCAUGGUUGUCGUCAGCUCGUGUCGUGAGAUGUUGGGUUAAGUCCCGCAACGAGCGCAACCCCUAUUGUUAGUUGCCAUCAUUCAGUUGGGCACUCUAGCGAGACUGCCGGUAAUAAACCGGAGGAAGGUGGGGAUGACGUCAAAUCAUCAUGCCCCUUAUGACCUGGGCUACACACGUGCUACAAUGGUUGGUACAACGAGUUGCGAGUCGGUGACGGCAAGCUAAUCUCUUAAAGCCAAUCUCAGUUCGGAUUGUAGGCUGCAACUCGCCUACAUGAAGUCGGAAUCGCUAGUAAUCGCGGAUCAGCACGCCGCGGUGAAUACGUUCCC